rnacentral:ncRNA from 22 species
AGGCUGGGUGGUGCAGCUGGUUCGCCCCGUCCGCCAGGCGGGAGGCGUCGUAAGAGGGAACCCGGCGGGAAUCCGGGACUGCCCCGCAGCGGUGAGUGGGAACGAACGCUGUCAUACGCACUGGGCCCAAAAGGCCCGGGAAGCGACGGCCAGUAGGUGUCCUCCGUACGGAGGGCGUGCUCGCGAGUCCGAAGACCUGCCCGCUGCCCGUGCGCGACC